AGUGAACGCUGGCGGUAGGCCUAACACAUGCAAGUCGAACGGCAGCACAGUAAGAGCUUGCUCUUACGGGUGGCGAGUGGCGGACGGGUGAGGAAUACAUCGGAAUCUACUUUUUCGUGGGGGAUAACGUAGGGAAACUUACGCUAAUACCGCAUACGACCUACGGGUGAAAGCAGGGGAUCUUCGGACCUUGCGCGAUUGAAUGAGCCGAUGUCGGAUUAGCUAGUUGGCGGGGUAAAGGCCCACCAAGGCGACGAUACGUAGCUGGUCUGAGAGGAUGAUCAGCCACACUGGAACUGAGACACGGUCCAGACUCCUACGGGAGGCAGCAGUGGGGAAUAUUGGACAAUGGGCGCAAGCCUGAUCCAGCCAUACCGCGUGGGUGAAGAAGGCCUUCGGGUUGUAAAGCCCUUUUGUUGGGAAAGAAAAGCAGCAGGUUAAUACCCCGCUGUUCUGACGGUACCCAAAGAAUAAGCACCGGCUAACUUCGUGC
rnacentral:rRNA from 1 species